AAAAUGGAGAAAUUCCCCCCAAAAUCCCAACGAAUUGUUACACCUUUCUCCCUUACAUCUCUCUCUGUCUUCUUUCCCUUUUCUUUCUGUUGUUUUUCUUCUUCUUCCCCCUCAAAAAAAGAAGAAGUAGUGUAAGUUGGCGCUAAAAUCCUAAAAUCGCAAAAAUGUGGUGAAAUUUAAAAUUAGAAUUUGGGAAAUUC
rnacentral:ribozyme from 1 species